UUCGCAAUGCCCGAAAGGGUGACGAAGCGACGCCGCGUGGGUGAGGAAGGCCUUCGGGUUGUAAAGCCCUGUCAGGAGUUAAGAAAUGUAAGUGCGCUAAUAUCGCAUUUAUUUGACGAAGGCUCCAAAGGAAGUCACGGCUAACUCUGUGCCAGCAGCCGCGGUAAUACAGAGGUGGCAAGCGUUGUUCGGAAUUAUUGGGCGUAAAGAGCACGUAGGUGGGUUUGUAAGUCAGAUGUGAAAGCCUUCUGUUCAACGGAUGAAUUGCAUCUGAAACUGCGAGUCUUGAGUGUAGGAGGGGAGAAUGGAACUUCUGGUGGAGCGGUGAAAUGCGUAGAUAUCAGAAGGAACGCCGGCGGCGAAAGCGAUUCUCUGGCCUAUUACUGACACUCAGUGUGCGAAAGCUAGGGGAGCAAACGGGAUUAGAUACCCCGGUAGUCCUAGCCGUAAACGAUGGGCACUAAGUAGAGGGGUUUU
rnacentral:rRNA from 1 species